rnacentral:lncRNA from 1 species
GCUCUAUUAGAAGCUGUGGGUCACAGAAGAGAACCGUGGAACCCAGCGACUAGUGUUCAGCUCGAUUAGGAUGAACCCGGGCACUUAGCUGCACAGGGCAGGAAUCCUUUGAAGGGAUAAAAGAAGUAAUCAGAGACCUGUCCAUGGUGACAAUAGGGUCAAGGUCACUUAACCUUCCUAGGCAUCAGUUUCCUCAGCUGUGAAAAGGGAAUAUUAACUUCAUUACAAGGUUAUCAGGAGGAUGGGUAACCAACCAUCUUCAGUCUGUAUGUCUCUCCAAUGCAUCCUGAAUCACUGGGAUUCCUUUGAAAAGAGAAAAUCAACCUUCUUCUUCCUGUUUCCUCCUCUGUCCUCUCUUCAUGGAUGAAUAAUCAUGUCUCCAUACCACAGGACAUUUCCCUCUGUGAAAAGUUUAAUUUCUGCAUUAAACCACUUGGCUUAAAAAAAAAUGAACUGGGAAGACAUUAUAACUCACAUUCCCCUCUGUGAAAAGUUUAAUUUCCAUAAACCUUAAAUCACUUGACUUAAAAAAAAAAUGAACUGGGAAAACUCUAACUGAGCAAUCUCUUGAGGAAGGACAAUGUUUACAGUAUGCAAAUAACCUAUUUGUCUGCUCCCCCUUUACGGAACUCCAGGGUCAAAGGGCUUCAUAGCUCGGGGGAAGGGAACCCAGAAGCCUGACAUGCUGGCAAACGAGUAAAAGUUUUUUACCCAUCAGACUUCUGGCUUUUCUCUCUCUCUGUGCAAACUGUUUGAAUGAAUGAUAAAAAUCACUGUUUAUAUACUCUGAAACGUUGUGAUUAAUGGAAAAAGGAUUUGUGAGGUGAGUCUUAAGCUAUAGAGAAUCUGUGAUACUUUGUGUUAAGAAUUUCUCUUUCUGUAUCUUUCUAUCAGAAAGAGGGGUACCUUAGGAUAAAAUGUGGGUCUAGGCCCAAAUGUCCAACAAUGAUAGACUGGGUUAAGAAAAUGUGGCACAUAUA